GACGAACGCUGGCGGCGUGCUUAACACAUGCAAGUCGAACGGAAAGGCCCUGCUUUUGUGGGGUGCUCGAGUGGCGAACGGGUGAGUAACACGUGAGUAACCUGCCCCUGACUUUGGGAUAACUUCAGGAAACUGGGGCUAAUACCGGAUAGGAGCUCCUGCUGCAUGGUGGGGGUUGGAAAGUUUCGGCGGUUGGGGAUGGACUCGCGGCUUAUCAGCUUGUUGGUGGGGUAGUGGCUUACCAAGGCUUUGACGGGUAGCCGGCCUGAGAGGGUGACCGGCCACAUUGGGACUGAGGUACGGCCCGGACGCCAACGGGAGGCAGCAGUGGGGAAUAUUGCACAAUGGGCGGAAGCCGGAUGCAGCAACGCCGCGUGCGGGAUGACGGCCUUCGGGUUGGAAACCGCUUUCGCCUGUGACGAAGCGUGAGUGACGGUAAUGGGUAAAGAAGCACCGGCUAACUACGUG
rnacentral:rRNA from 1 species